GCGGCGUCGAGCUUCAUGACGGGCGCCGUCGUCACGGUCGACGGCGGCUACACGCUGUUCUGACUGGGCGGGCGCCGUCCC
rnacentral:tRNA from 1 species